GACGAACGCUGGCGGCGUGCUUAACACAUGCAAGUCGAACGAAGUGGCGAACGGGUGAGUAACGCGUAAUCAACCUGCCCUUCAGAGGGGGACAACAGUUGGAAACGACUGCUAAUACCGCAUACUGAAGGAGGGGAUUGCGUCUGCUUAGCUAGUUGGAGUGUUAACGGCCCACCAAGGCGAUGAUCAGUAGCCUGUCUGAGAGGAUGAUCAGUCACACUGGAACUGAGACACGGUCCAGACUCUGACGGGAGGCAGCAGUGGGGAAUAUUGGAAAAUGGGCGAAAGCCUGAUCCAGCCAUGCCGCGUGUGUGAAGAAGGUCUUCGGAUUGUAAAGCACUUUAAGUUGGGAGGCGUUACCAACAGAAUAAGCACCGGCGAACUUCGUGCCAGCAGCCGCGGUAAUAC
rnacentral:rRNA from 1 species